CAUACUACAUCCUGAAUAAGUGCAUGAGUAUGGAUCAAUAUCAAACUCAAUCACUUAUUCAUGUCUCUCUCAAUCUUUUAUAUGAUAAUUCAAACAAUGAAACAUUAGAAACUCUUUCUAAUUUUUAUUUUGCUUUGAUCAAAGGCUUCUUGAAUCAUCAUAAGAUUAGAGUAAGCAGGAUGUUACCUUCUCUUACUAGAAGUGACUGAUUCCUUGUUGACCUACUCA
rnacentral:lncRNA from 1 species